UGACCCACCUUUAGCCUCCCAAAGUGCUGGGAUUCCAGGUAUGAGCCACCGCGCCAGGACCCAAGGCCCUUAAGUUUUAAGGCCUCAUUCUUCAGUCAGGUUUUCCUUGUUCCUGCGUGCUCAGCCAAUUGGUUUUGAAUUUGUGUUUAAGGAGAAACUAACAAUGAAAAUGGACUCGUUGAUGGAAGAAAAGUUGGAAUGCAGCCUCUGGUGCUGUGUGAGCGAUCCGUCUCUCCGGGGCCUGGCUGCGCGCUGCUGUGUUCUGGAAAGGCACAUUGUACCAUAGAUGCGGCAGGGCCUUGUUCUGUUAACCAGGCUGGAGUGCAGUAGCAUGAUCACAGCUCACUGUAGCCUUAACCUUCCGGGCUCAAUCCUCCUGCCUUAGCCCUCCAAGUAGCUGGGACUACAGAUUAGCCCUACUUGCAACUUCCACAUGCAGUCUUCCACAAUGCUGCCAGAGCAACAGCUACAACUCUAUAACUGAAGGCAUCGCCCUCCUGGGCUCUCCAUAUUGUUUAUCAUCUUUGACAGAUAAACUAGAUGAGCUCUUUUUACAACACUCAGAGAAUGCUUUGAAUUCACAUUUCUGCCAUCUUACUCACCUAUUUGAAUGAGUUCCCUCCCCCCUUGUAUCAAAUAUUUUCUCUAAUAAUAAUAAAUUGAGUUAUUUGUAGUUCCUGAAGAAUUUCGUGUUCUUAUAACAUUAAAUUUUUUCCCACACUAUUUGUUAUAACUAGUUUACCUAUUAUUUCUGCCUUAAAAAAA